rnacentral:rRNA from 1 species
GACGAACGCUGGCGGCGUGCCUAAUACAUGCAAGUAGAACGCACAGUUUAUACCGUAGCUUGCUACACCAAAGACUGUGAGUUGCGAACGGGUGAGUAACGCGUAGGUAACCUGCCUGGCAGCGGGGGAUAUCUAUUGGAAACGAUAGCUAAUACCGCAUAAUAUUAAUUAUUGCAUGAUAAUUAAUUGAAAGGUGCAAUUGCACCACUACCAGAUGGACCUGCGUUGUAUUAGCUAGUAGGUGAGGUAACGGCUCACCUAGGCGACGAUACAUAGCCGACCUGAGAGGGUGAUCGGCCACACUGGGACUGAGACACGGCCCAGACUCCUACGGGAGGCAGCAGUAGGGAAUCUUCGGCAAUGGACGAAAGUCUGACCGAGCAACGCCGCGUGAGUGAAGAAGGUUUUCGGAUCGUAAAGCUCUGUUGUAAGAGAAGAACGGGUGUGAGAGUGGAAAGUUCACACUGUGACGGUAUCUUACCAGAAAGGGACGGCUAACUACGUG